rnacentral:lncRNA from 1 species
GCGUUCCUGUGUGAUGGGGCCGGAGCCAGUAAACAGGCUUCCUUCUCGCUCUGCUGUAUAAGAAGAAGAAGUAGGAGAAACAAAAUAAGGAGGAGAAGAAGUAAAAUAAUUUGAGAAGGAAUAUGAAGGGGCUGAAAUCCUGGGCUUUCUGGGCAGAAGGAUCUACGAGCGGGAUCGUGGGUGAAACAUGAAGAUGAUGGUGGACAGGUGAGCUACGCAGUUCGUGGAAGAACCAGGGGUCACAUGGCCUAGAUGCUACCCUAGAUGAGAAAGAGUCCAAUGGUUAUCAACAAGUUCUGAAAGGCAAGGCCUAAGGUACUGAAAAUUAUAUUACUCAAAGCUGAAGGCAGCAAAUCUGUUCAUGUUUACACAGUUGGGAAAGUGGACUUGUGUUUUUUACAAGCAAACCAGUGACCAGCCAAUGGCAGGAGACCUUCCCCACCCCUAAAGGUGAUGCUCACCUACCGUCAUGGGUAAAAGGAAGCUCUGGCUCGAAUUCCUCAUGUAUUAUUCAUGUGUGAUGCCACCCAACGUGAUUCAGAGAAGAAAAUUCUCAGUGUGUUCACCAGAGGUGAUUACAUGAGAAUAAAGCACGGCCUGAUUUUUUUUCUUGUUCACAGGAAAAAAAAAAGAAAAGAA